rnacentral:rRNA from 1 species
UACGAAGGGGGCUAGCGUUGCUCGGAAUUACUGGGCGUAAAGGGAGCGUAGGCGGAUAGUUUAGUCAGAGGUGAAAGCCCAGGGCUCAACCUUGGAAUUGCCUUUGAUACUGGCUAUCUUGAGUACGGAAGAGGUAUGUGGAACUCCGAGUGUAGAGGUGAAAUUCGUAGAUAUUCGGAAGAACACCAGUGGCGAAGGCGACAUACUGGUCCGUUACUGACGCUGAGGUGCGAAAGCGUGGGGAGCAAACAGG